CCAUUUCUUCCCUGAUCAGGGCAUUUUUUAAGAAAUUGCAACUACUGGGGCCAAGUCUCAAUAAGGACCUUUUCCCGAAUUUCCCCGCACAGUUAUGCCUAAUUUUUCGUAAUUUUUUCGUACAUUUCUCUAAAUUUUAGCUACAAUUAUUAGUUUUUAAUUAGUGUCACUCAAAUAUUUUAGUUUCUUUCCUUCCUAUCCAACUGGGAUUAGAUCAUUUGCCGACUACCUGACGACCGGGGGAGUUCAACCCUCCCCCCCCCACCCCCUUUAGUGCCACCCCUGCCUGUUCUGACUUUCAUAAGAUGGAAUAUCAAGAAUGUGAGAAGAUAUUAGAUAUGAGAAAGCAGGCAGCUUUUUCAAAAGCGCCCAGUUCGUCUGAAAAUCUUGCUUCACUACUGGAGCAAGCAAAGGGCUUACUGGGGUAAAUUCCCCAGUAGUUAUAUUGAAAUUAUAUAGUUAAAAAAUGCCCUCCUUCUCUUCCAAUAAAUUAGAAAAAAAGUAGUCAUAUAUAUAGUUCUUAUUAACUAGUUAAUACCUUAAAGUUUUAUUGCACACGAACCAACAAACGCGCCUCAAAGCAGUCCGAAAAGACAUUUUCUUAACAAUUACAUCCGGUGUCAAAUAUAGCCUAUACUAAAAUAACUAUCAAGAAUUGUUUUUAAAUAUAUAAAUUUCGCGACCGCUAUUCUAUAGGAAUAAUAGGAUUUUCCUAAACUUUCAUAUAUUGUAUAAAUUAUAUGUUCUUUCAUUUGGUUACUCCACGCAGAGACUUACACGUAAGUGGUGCAAGCCUAUAAACAAGCGACAAUCCGUCUCAAAAUGGACGAUGUCACAGAAUAAGGAUCUGACUCGCCCCGGCGGCUCGUGCAAUUUUGGCACAUUUUUCAAAUAUCACUCGUAGUGUUAAUCAUUAGCGUACUUAGGCAAACGACGUUUUUCUCAACACGAAAGUCACCUGAAAAUUGGUAUGACUAAUUUUGACGGUAUUUUGCAUCAUGGCGCUCGUGUAAGCAAGCAAAAAACUUAAACUAAAAUCUUAUGUUUUGUCACAUGUGAUGAAGAUUACUACAAACUGAUACAAACACAGUUUUGAGUCCAGUCCCCCCUCGGCAAUCUGACGUCAUUGUUGACAACAACGUCGUUUGCUUAAGCUCACUAUUAAUUGCACUCCUUCCCGUGUGAUUACCUCUACAAAUUAUACAUUGUCAUUGAGAGACAUCGCUCUGGAGACACCGGAGGCACAUUACAUUAGCUUUACCUCAACCACGCAUUGAAAAAUAGUUUUAGCUCCAGUGGUGCGGUACUGUGGAACACCCUUCCAGUCGAGAUACG